GGGCACAACCCCCCACCGCAGACACCCCCAACCAAAGCUGCCCAAGUCCCUUGUAUCCAGAUGCUUCUGAACAUUUCCAUGCAACCUGGGCACAUCUUCCCUAGGAAUUUCAAUCUGUGACUGGUUGAAUCUGUGGAUACGGAAUCCGUGGACAUGGUGGGCCCUCCGAAGUUGCUCAGUCUUUGAGAUAGCUGGAGAGGCACACAGGAGGACCCCUGACCCCACUCACCCAAGGCCCAUCAGAGUGCCUGGUAUUCCUACCACUCAAGCAGCUUCUGAAGGUCCUUCCGGAAAAGUGAUGUCAAUUUGCUAAAACUCCACUGUCUAACUGGGAGCCCGUGUUCCGUACUCCAUGUUAGGGGGGGGACAGCCACACAAUGAAUAUCAUACUUUUCAGGUGCCUUAACAUAGCUGAUUGGAUCAUCCCACAAUACUAUGAGGUCCCACCUCUUAAAGGUGCCAUGACUUCAACACCACCAAACGGAUGACAAAUUUCUAGCACAUAAAACGGUGGGAGACAUGCUCAACCAUAUCCGAACCACAUUACUUGCCAGGUGAGAAAACUGAUCAGAACAGGGAGGCUGGGCCUCUGUGGAAGAAGGAAUUAGUCCCACAAGCAGCCUUCAGACAGGGGAGGCCCAGAGGUGAGGCCUCUUGCUGGAGCACAUAACUGUCCUGAUGAUGUCAGCUCCGUGAGUUCAGAGACCGUGUCUCUCCUGUCCCCAGCUGUGUCCCCCCACCUCCCCAUGACUUGAAUGAACUUAGCAAAGCCAGAAUUUCCUGAGACAGAACAGCUCUGCCAACCACUGCAGCAGAGAGCCAACCUGGAUUCUUCCACUGUGCAGGCUUUGUUAAAAUCUACCAUGAAUAAAAUAUCAACCGGUGCGCUUCAAAGAGAAAAGGAGGGCAUGAGAACCCCCCAGAAGGAGAAAGCUGGAACAAAGCAAGCCGAGGAGGAGAGGCGAAAAUAAAUAAACGCGUCAUUUGUAUUGUCAUUUGA